CUCCGCCGUACAACAACUCUUUGCCGCCCCUCGCAAUCUUCAUAAACCGUCGACCAGUCACGUCCUCACGUGCCGAGAAAACCUUUGUGAUUCUGUGUUGUGAUUAUGAUAAGUGCAUUAUUUUAAUAUUUCCAUUGGGAUUAUUAUUUCAUGAUUGAUCUCUCCAAUAAGAGAUAAUCGGUCGGAACACACAAUGCAUUUAGAAAUUGCUGACGGGACGGAAAACUGAAACAAAAGGAUAAAGGUUCUCUAUUGAAAUACGGACUGGGAGAGCGAGAACCGGUCGGCAGGAUGGCCUAAUGGUCGCCAGGUGUAAAAAGCGAUACUGCGAGGGUCCAAAUAUGAAAGGAAAGGAAUAUGCGAACAUUGGU